AUGGAAGCGCUGCUGCUGCUGGGCGCGCUGCUGCUGCUGCUGCUGGGAGCGCUGCCGCCGGCGGUACCAGUGCCGCCGGCCCCGCGCGAGCUGGCCCGAGCCGUGCUGGAGGCGCACGGGCAGGAUGCGGGCACCGGGCUGAAGCUGCUCAAGCUCCAGGGAGUCACCAGGACGGUAGGAGCGUGCUCGGCCGCGGAGAGGUUUUCCCCAAGGGGAGGCUUCGCGCCACGCCGACGCCGUCCUUUUUUCCUCUUUUUCCCCCCUGCAGAAGUUCGACUGGGGCACGCACUUCACCAUCAACCUCACCGCCCGCGAGACGGCCUGCCCCAAAAACCCCGCUGCGCCGCGACACGCUGGCUGCAAAGCCCGGCCGGGCCAGGUAGGUGUGGGGUGACCCCGAAACACGAAGGAGGGCACAGACCUCUGCCCUGCCUCGCGACAACCCUCCCCAGCACCCCAGGGACGGGAUCGGGGUGCUCGCCGGGGCCGUUUGCUUCCUCCCCUUGCCGGAGCCGUGAAUUCGGUCCACCAGGGCUCCCCCAGGGGCAGCGGCAAGCAUUGGCCUCGCUCGGCUUCCCCACUGCCCCCAGCCAGGGCUGGGGGCUUUCUGCGAGCCCCCCUCCCUCCGUCUCUCCCCCCUCACCCCGCCAGGUCCAGCACUGCGUGGCCCAAAUCUCCGUCUUCGCCUUCCUGCCCGACGUGCCGCUGUCGAUGGUGGAGUGCGGCCGGCAGCCGCCCAGUGGCUCGGGGCAGCCCCGCUCCAAAGGUCGGCGCAGCCCAGGGACCCCGCGAGCCUUCGGCCUCAGGGACCCGGCACCAUCCUGAAUCCCUGCAAGCGCAUCUUUCCUGCGGGAGAGGACCCCCAGACCCCAUCCCCCAGACCCCAUCCCGCAUGGAGCUGAAAUAAAGCUGUUCUGGGGCCGUGAGUGUGUGUGUGU
rnacentral:lncRNA from 1 species